UACGGUGACGAUCGCAAGAAGGUACCACCUGUUCCCAUCCCGAACACAGUCGUUAAGCUUCUGAGCGCCGAGGAUAGUGAGGGGUUUCCCCUUGUGAAAGCCGGACGUUGCCG
rnacentral:rRNA from 1 species